rnacentral:rRNA from 1 species
UUUAUGGAGAGUUUGAUCCUGGCUCAGAGUGAACGCUGGCGGCGUGCCUAAUACAUGCAAGUCGAACGAUGAAGCUUCUAGCUUGCUAGAAUGCUGAUUAGUGGCGCACGGGUGAGUAACGCAUAGGUCAUGUGCCUCUUAGUUUGGGAUAGCCAUUGGAAACGAUGAUUAAUACCAGAUACUCCCUACGGGGGAAAGAUUUAUCGCUAAGAGAUCAGCCUAUGUCCUAUCAGCUUGUUGGUAAGGUAAUGGCUUACCAAGGCUAUGACGGGUAUCCGGCCUGAGAGGGUGAACGGACACACUGGAACUGAGACACGGUCCAGACUCCUACGGGAGGCAGCAGUAGGGAAUAUUGCUCAAUGGGGGAAACCCUGAAGCAGCAACGCCGCGUGGAGGAUGAAGGUUUUAGGAUUGUAAACUCCUUUUGUUAGAGAAGAUAAUGACGGUAUCUAACGAAUAAGCACCGGCUAACUCCGUGCCAGCAGCCGCGGUAAUACGGAGGGUGCAAGCGUUACUCGGAAUCACUGGGCGUAAAGAGCGCGUAGGCGGGAUAGUCAGUCAGGUGUGAAAUCCUAUGGCUUAACCAUAGAACUGCAUUUGAAACUACUAUUCUAGAGUGUGGGAGAGGUAGGUGGAAUUCUUGGUGUAGGGGUAAAAUCCGUAGAGAUCAAGAGGAAUACUCAUUGCGAAGGCGACCUGCUGGAACAUUACUGACGCUGAUUGCGCGAAAGCGUGGGGAGCAAACAGGAUUAGAUACCCUGGUAGUCCACGCCCUAAACGAUGGAUGCUAGUUGUUGGAGGGCUUAGUCUCUCCAGUAAUGCAGCUAACGCAUUAAGCAUCCCGCCUGGGGAGUACGGUCGCAAGAUUAAAACUCAAAGGAAUAGACGGGGACCCGCACAAGCGGUGGAGCAUGUGGUUUAAUUCGAAGAUACACGAAGAACCUUACCUAGGCUUGACAUUGAGAGAAUCCGCUAGAAAUAGUGGAGUGUCUGGCUUGCCAGACCUUGAAAACAGGUGCUGCACGGCUGUCGUCAGCUCGUGUCGUGAGAUGUUGGGUUAAGUCCCGCAACGAGCGCAACCCCCUUCCUUAGUUGCUAACAGGUUAUGCUGAGAACUCUAAGGAUACUGCCUCCGUAAGGAGGAGGAAGGUGGGGACGACGUCAAGUCAUCAUGGCCCUUACGCCUAGGGCUACACACGUGCUACAAUGGGGUGCACAAAGAGAAGCAAUACUGCGAAGUGGAGCCAAUCUUCAAAACACCUCUCAGUUCGGAUUGUAGGCUGCAACUCGCCUGCAUGAAGCUGGAAUCGCUAGUAAUCGCAAAUCAGCCAUGUUGCGGUGAAUACGUUCCCGGGUCUUGUACUCACCGCCCGUCACACCAUGGGAGUUGUGUUUGCCUUAAGUCAGGAUGCUAAAUUAGCUACUGCCCACGGCACACACAGCGACUGGGGUGAAGUCGUAACAAGGUAACCGUAGGUGAACCUGCGGUUGGAUCACCUCCUUUCUAGA